rnacentral:rRNA from 1 species
GGUCGUAAAACUCUGUUGUUAGGGAAGAACAAGUGCUAGUUGAAUAAGCUGGCACCUUGACGGUACCUAACCAGAAAGCCACGGCUAACUACGUGCCAGCAGCCGCGGUAAUACGUAGGUGGCAAGCGUUAUCCGGAAUUAUUGGGCGUAAAGCGCGCGCAGGUGGUUUCUUAAGUCUGAUGUGAAAGCCCACGGCUCAACCGUGGAGGGUCAUUGGAAACUGGGAGACUUGAGUGCAGAAGAGGAAAGUGGAAUUCCAUGUGUAGCGGUGAAAUGCGUAGAGAUAUGGAGGAACACCAGUGGCGAAGGCGACUUUCUGGUCUGUAACUGACACUGAGGCGCGAAAGCGUGGGGAGCAAACAGGAUUAGAUACCCUGGUAGUCCACGCCGUAAACGAUGAGUGCUAAGUGUUAGAGGGUUUCCGCCCUUUAGUGCUGAAGUUAACGCAUUAAGCACUCCGCCUGGGGAGUACGGCCGCAAGGCUGAAACUCAAG